rnacentral:rRNA from 1 species
GAUGAACGCUAGCGAUAGGCUUAACACAUGCAAGUCGAGGGGCAGCACAAGGUAGCUUGCUAUCUGGGUGGCGACCGGCGCACGGGUGCGUAACGCGUAUGCAACUUGCCCUAUACAGGAGGAUAACCCGUCGAAAGACGGACUAAUACUGCGUAUGCUCACAACUUGGCAUCAAGUGGUGAGGAAAGAAAUUCGGUAUAGGAUAGGCAUGCGUCCCAUUAGCUUGUUGGUGAGGUAACGGCUCACCAAGGCAACGAUGGGUAGGGGAACUGAGAGGUUUAUCCCCCACACUGGUACUGAGACACGGACCAGACUCCUACGGGAGGCAGCAGUGAGGAAUAUUGGUCAAUGGGCGCGAGCCUGAACCAGCCAAGUCGCGUGAAGCAUGACUGUCUUAUGGAUUGUAAACUUCUUUUAUACGGGAAUAACAAGAGUCACGUGUGACUCCCUGCAUGUACCGUAUGAAUAAGCAUCGGCUAACUCCGUG